rnacentral:rRNA from 1 species
UAAAUAGCCGCAGUACCCUGUCUGUGCAAAGGUAGCAUAAUCAUUUGGCUUAUAAUUGAAGUUUGGCAUGAAUGAAUUAAUGGGGAACAUCUGUCUAUGAUGUUCUACUAGAAUUUAAUUAAGGAGUGAAAAUUCUUCAUAAAUAAAUAAAGACGAGAAGACCCUAGAAAUUUUAUUUAUCUAGUAUAAUACUAUAUCAUUUUGUUGGGGCGACAGAAUAACAGAUAAC